AGUUUAACCUUUUGACCGCCAAUGUCGGCUAUAGCCGACAUGAGCAAGCGUGCCCUGUGCGCCAACGACGGCUAUACUCGACAAAAAACAGGUCGCAGAAAAAUACAAAAUAAACCUAUUAAAUCAUUACUUUUAUGUAUUUUUUAGUAGAUUAAGAUUUUAAGAUUUUCGGGCUUGGCGUACAGGGCAUAGGAAUACCGAUAUGGCGUGGCGGUGAAAAGGUUAAAGCACCCUUCUCUCAGUGGAUCAUCUAAGGGGCAUAAUUUUUGAAAUCGAACAUACCUUCUUCAUUUGGAACUUGAUGGUAGCCUUGACUUCAUCAAUCUUCUGUGUCAUGGACUCCUGGUGGGAGAGGAGACCAGGGAACUUGCCGGCCUUGUUGAGACCAGGACCCAAUAGACGGGGAAUCUGCUUGAUGAGGGAUUCUGAUGCAAGGAAGGCAUCAUAU
rnacentral:lncRNA from 1 species